CGUUAUCGGAAUUACUGGGCGUAAAGGGCGCGUAGGCGGCCUUCUAAGUCGAACGUGAAAUCCCCGGGCUCAACCCGGGAACUGCGUCCGAUACUGGAAGGCUUGAAUCCGGGAGAGGGAUGCGGAAUUCCAGGUGUAGCGGUGAAAUGCGUAGAUAUCAGGAGGAACACCAAUGGCGAAGGCAGCUCGCUGGGACGUGACUGACGCUGAGACGCGAAAGCGUGGGGAGCAAACAGG
rnacentral:rRNA from 1 species